GAUGAACGCUGACAGAAUGCUUAACACAUGCAAGUCAACUGUGGCGGACGGGUGAGUAACGCGUAAAGGAAUUGCCUCACAGUUAGGGACAACAUUUGGAAACGAAUGAUAAUACCUAAUACUGUGAGAGAGCUUUGCGUCCCAUUAGCUAGUAGGAGAGGUAACGGCUCACCAAGGCGAUGAUGGGUAGCCGGCCUGAGAGGUUGAUGGGCCACAAGGUGACGGGGACACUGCCCUUACUCCGACGGGAGGCAGUAGUGGGGAAUAGUGGACAAUGGACCAAAGUCUGAGCCAGCAAUUCUGUGUGCACGAUGAAGUUUUCGGAAUGUAAAGUGUUUUCAUUUGGGAAGCGGUACCAACAGAAGAAGUAACGGCUAAAUACGUGCCAGCAGCCGCGGUAAUUC
rnacentral:rRNA from 1 species